CCACGGCGAAUGGUUCAUCAAUCGUUCAAAAAAGAAUAUAUACGAUUGCAUUGCAUAUACUAACGGAUGCGAUCAUACCAGCACUAAUGCACCGGAUCCCAUCAGAACUCCGCAGUUAAGCGUGCUUGGGCGAGAGUAGUACUAGGAUGGGUGACCUCCCGUAAAGUCCUCGUGUUGCAUCCCUCUUUUAUGUUUAACCUUUUUUUUUUUGG
rnacentral:rRNA from 1 species